rnacentral:rRNA from 1 species
GAGUUUGAUCCGGCUCAGAAUGAACGUGGCGGCGGGAUUAGGCAUGCAAGUCGAGCGAGAAGCUCACUUCGGUGAGCGGAAAGCGGCGCAAGGGAGAGUAACGCGUAGAUACCUGCCCUAGGGUUCGGGAUAGCCACGGGAAACUGUGGGUAAUACCGGAUAAUGUCUCCGGACUAAAGAUUUAUUGCCUUGGGAUGGGUCUGCGUCCUAUUAGCUUGUUGGUGGGGUAAUGGCCUACCAAGGCCGAGAUGGGUAGCGGGCGUGAGAGCGUGGCCCGCCUCACUGGGACUGAGACACUGCCCAGACACCUACGGGUGGCUGCAGUCGAGAAUCUUCCGCAAUGGGCGAAAGCCUGACGGAGCGACGCCGCGUGCGGGAUGAAGGCCUUCGGGUUGUAAACCGCUGUCAGAGGGGAGCAAAUUCAGUUUACUGAUU